rnacentral:lncRNA from 1 species
ACUCACCUAGGAAGUGGUAGGAUUGAGAUUUGAAUUUGGAAGCCUUACCUGAGGAUUUUUCACUUAACCAACUACGCUACACUUUUAACAGUCCCUUUUCCCCGCAAAGACUUCCAAAAAGAAAGCUAGGUAUCCUCUUUUAGGGUAUAUUUUUGUCUCCAAAAUUUCCCUUAUACCAAUGGAUAAGAAAAAAAGUGACUUGAUUUCAGGUUCCAGGUGCUUGGAUUUAUUCUUCUUCUUAAAAUGUCUCUGAGUAGUGGGACAGAAAUUUCCCCACCCUUCUCCUCAUGAAGCUGUGUAGACAGGCCACAAAAGAAAAGAGCAACUGACUUUCCCAUUUCUACAUGACUUGACCAUGUCACCAACACCUGUGUCAAAAGGAAGUUUCACCAGAUGCAGUCAGGCCUCCGCAGGGGCUGCUGAGCCGCAGUGUCUCCAGGAAGACCCGCUGAUGAGUCACACUCCAAUCCACUCAUCAGACCACCGUGCUGCUGGCCUUCUGUUGUCUGGUAAGAGCCAGAGCACUUGGAGAAAAAUGCAAAUGCGUCUUUAGUACCUACAUAAAGUUUUACAGAAAUAUGCAAAUAAGACUUAAAGCUGUGGACAAGAAGAGGAAUUGAUCCCAAAUCUCAUCAGCUAUGGCAAGGAUAACAUCCCUGCCUCUGGGAGCCUGGCAGCACCUUUUGCAUACUGGUGAGAUUGCACUCUGGCCUGUGCAGAAGAGGAGGCUACUGGAUAGCAUGAGACUCUGUGGUGAUGGGAGAGAGGGCACAGGGUGAGUCUUUUCUCACCCAUUUGGGUAACAAAACAAAGAACCUGAGAAACACCUAAGUUGUGCUUUACAGACUUGAACUCAGAGAAGGAUGAGCUUGGAAAUGCCCAGGGUUCCAUGAUGGUAAGCAUCAAAUUUUUCAAAAGAUGUAAGAAAAGAAAAAUGAAGUCUGAUGCACCCACAAGCACAGCUUUCUGGAUAGUGAACAAAGAGCUAAGAUACACAUCUCUGGGUUCAUUGAAACAACCUCUAGAACAGUUUCACAUAUUUCCUUUUCUCUGUUUCUUUCAGCUCUUUCAACCAAACCAUGAGUCAUUUUCCAAUGUGGCAGUCUAUUCCUCUAUGUUUAAGUCACUUUAGGCAAUUUGUAAACCCAAGUAUGAAGCUUCUAUCGGUCUAGCUUGAAUAGAAGCAUUAACGGAGUGCUUAACCUUUAGACAACUCUUUUGUGAAGGCUGGACAACAGACGGCUUGAUAUUAUCUUUUCAGUAGGGACACGGAAGACCAGUGGUGUGAUGAGGUAGUUGAAGGCAGAUGUGUUGUCCUGAACCAGAUAUAUCUCAACCACAGGACACGGAUCUGCCAAAACCAAUUUAACAGGUGGGCAGCUGUUACUCGCCUCCCACCGCCUCACAGAGUUAGGCUCUGAGCGUGAACGCAGACAACUUUUGUCACAGGAAUUUAUUCCCAGCAUAUGAAUAAGAGAGUCUCCUUAAGAGAGUCUUUAACUUCUUAAGGGCAAAAGAGGACAGUCAAUUACCAGAAAGAAAACAUUGCUAUUAUAUGAUCACUCAUGAAUGUCCAGAGGAUGAUAUGUAACAGCUUUGUUUUCUAUUUUUCCAUCAAUGCAGAAUCCUUCUCAGGAGCCCUCUCCUCUGGUCUCCUUUCACUAUCUCUGUGUCCUGCUUACCUUCUCCCAGAACCCUGGCUCUCAAUCUGUUGUUCCAUUUAGUUUUACCACCUGUAAAAUUUCUGUGAAAUCCACAGGGUCCUAUUGGUUUUGAAACUAGCUUUAGGUUCUUCAAAACUCAAACAUGUUCAACCUUUGUCUUACUAAUAGUGCCCACUUUUUAUUGAAUGAUUGUGAUGGCCUAUGCAGUCCUAUGCAAAUAGAGAUACUUAUUUUUUUAAAAAGGGUUUCUGUGUAAAAGAGUGGUGAGGCAGAAGAGAGUGACAAUGCGGGGGAAACACCCUGAAACCUGCCUUGUGGUAUUUGAAACUAGGCCAUUACAAUGACUGAAUUCUUACCAUUUUUUUUAGAUUUUCAACCAACAGUCUUCUUUCAUUCAUGAUAUCAGCAAAUUAACAAAGUGCAGCUAAUGUAAAUAACUUUCAUUUUCCAUUGUCCAUUUUAAAACAAAGAGGUCAUUCUCUGAUAGUAGAUGCAUAGAUGGUAUGUUCUACAUCAGUUUUUGUUUUGUUUUCCAAAUAGUCUGUUUUGUCUUUCAGAGGUAGAAUUACCAAAUCUCUGAAACUUAAAUCAACCCAAAGACAAAAGUAUGUUUUAUUUUGUUUCAUUUGUUUUAGUAUGAAUAUAUAGUACUUUAAAAGAAACAUCAUAUACAACUCGAUUAAUAUGAAUUCAUAAUGUUGACAUUAGAAAUAGGCCAACAAUCAUUCUAAAGUGAAACCAUCUUUAUUUUGAAAAUUACCAAAUAUUUUCUACUUUUUAAGUUAUUAUUAAUAUAUAACUCUGCCUAUUUUUUCAGAGUAAUUGACGAAGGUAAGACUAAAACAAAUGAAUUAAUGAAUAAAGGAAAAAAGAAAGAAAGAAGAGGCAGGUGAUACAAGGAUGCAAAUACACAGGCCCAUAUAGGCUUACAUUGCUGCAAACAUAGUUAAAUUUGGCUCUUAGCCCCCUGGCAGUCAAAGCAAAAGAGGGGAGAUAUGGUCAGUUGCAUAGUUCUUAUUAUUAGAUGAGAAGAAACAUGCUAGUUCCUCAGGGGAAGCGAAUGUAUUUUUCUUGUACUAAUGUCUCAAGCAAAUCAGGCUGGUGGGGCCUCACAUGGGAAAUGCUGAGUGAUGUUAUACACACUGAACUUAACAGGAGUCCUACAAGCAAGGCUAGAGUCUCCUCCUUAGAAACCAAGGGCACAACCUUAAAAUGCAAUCCAGUUUAGGCAAUUUGUAAACCCAAAUAUGAAGCUCUUAUCGGUCUAGCUUGGGUAGAAGCAUUAACAGAGUGCUUAACCUUUAGACAACUCUUUUGUGAAGGCUGGACAAUAGACAGCUUAAUAUUGCCUUUUCAGUGGGGACAAGGAAGGCCAGUGUUGUGAUGAGGUAGUUGAAGGCUGAUAUGUUGUCCUGAACCGGAUAUCUCAACCACAGCAUAGGGAUCUGCCAAAACCAAUUUAACAGGUGAGCAGCUGUUACUCUCCUACCAACACCCCACAGAGUUAGGCUCUGAGUGUGAGUGCAGACAACUCUUCUAGUAGAAAUUUACUCCCAGCAUAUCAAUAAAGAAUUAAGUAUUCACCUUCAAAAAAAAAAAAAAAAAAAA